GGAUGUGAUGUCGAUUCUGGCUGCGACAUUUAUCAUCCCAUCGAUCGCCAAGGUUGAUUCGGCUGAUCUGGCUGGCUAGGCGAGUGUCCCCUUCCUCCCUCACCGCUCCAUGUGUGUCCCUCCCAAAGCUGAGCUCUCAGUGGAAGAGGACGACCUUUCCUGAAUAUAGAGACAGAAGGACCAGUCUUUGGUCGAGGGUAUAUGAGUUUCUGCACUCCCCUGCUAGAACCUCCAAACAAGCUCUCAAAGAGCAGCCAUUAAAGGCUUUAGACAAGGAACCACUGACAUCAGCAGACCAAAACCAGUGU
rnacentral:snRNA from 1 species